GAACAGGGCACUUGGAUCUCUCAAAUGGUGCAGUGACUCGGAUACCUUCCCUAGUGGCCAUAAAGCUCCAGACGAAUCUCAGUGCAGGACGCCAUCCUCGCAAUAUUCAAGAGUCACCCUUCUAAGGAGGACCCCUAGACUGCUCGCUAGUGGAACACGACAGAGGCGAAAUCCUGCCCCGUCUCCCGUGGACCUGGCUGGAUAUGGUUUUUGCCAAUCCACAGAGCCAUCCUGCCCUGACAGCUAGCAAGAGGCCAAGACCCACAGAACAACCACUACAGCCCCUCUGUCAGCAGGAAGCAGUUAAAGAAGACUGACCUUCGUCCAUUUUCCCAGAUAAUUGGGUCUUGGACUCUUGAGGGGGGGAAAUGUUGGAGCAGGUAGCUAGUCAGACAUGAGCAGGGCAGGGGAGGGCCCCCUCACCAGGAAUGUCAGGCAACCAUCAGGUGAUGGUGAGGCAGUUGUUAAGCUGUGUCUCUAACAUAAUAAUGAGUGGCAGCUGGCGCCAGGGAACGAUGGCCUCCCAAUAGAUAGGAAACACCUGAAGCUGGUGAUCAGCCACUUCCUGAUAAGAUCUCAGGAGUUGGGUGCGCAGGCUCAAGCAUGCACCCUAAGAGGCAAAAUAGUGGCAUUUAACUCAUAUAUGACCUUCCUUUAGGAAGGCUUGACUGGUAAGGGAAAAACUCCUCCAGUGAACACGUGCACAACUUCAGUAAAAACACUGCACAUGCGUCCCCUCCCAAGUGCUGGCAGGCCACUGUGCAUGCAGACAGCCCGCCCCAAAGAAAAAUCAGAGGAGGAGAAAUGGAAACCCCGGAACAAUGCCAAUGUAUAAAACCCCAAGUCAAGGGCCUACCAAGGCAAUUGGAUCUCUCAAGUCACCCGCUUGGCUCUCUUCAAGUGCACUUUGCUUCCUUUUGUUCUUGCUCUAAAACUUUUACUCCUGCUAUAAAACUUGCCUUGGACUAUCAUGCUACCUUACGCCUCCCCGGCCAAAUUCCCUCCUCUCCUCCGGGGGGCAAGGAUGGAGUCUGCUGCAGACCCAUUGGAUUUGCUGCUGGUAACAGUUCCACCAUUUAGGUUCCAGCACCAAGCAAACUAACACCCGACUCAGUGUAAACAGCCAAACAAGCUUAACCAAUUAGAAACCACCAUCUAACCUCUAACUAGGUCCUUUCAACUUUAACCAAGUAUUUUCUUUGUCUUGCUUCUGUGGGAACCUUAUAAAAUUUUCCCCCUUGUACCUCUGUAGUAGAGACCCAGUUGCUUGCAGUUUGGCCCUGCCUGUUCAUGAAUCACCCUUGCUCAAAUAAACUCUCUAAAAUGCUAAUGUGCCUAAGUUGAUUUCUUAACACAUCUUUGCAGAUUGUAGGAAAACCAAUGAACUAGACAACCUACAAAAUUUGUUCACACUUUUCUGUAAUCAACACAUUUUACCUCAAUCUACUAUCUUUGAAAGGUGUACAUUAUCCUAAAUAAAACUGUAUUAAUCUAAGGAUAGUUUAAAUUUCUAAAACCAAAUUUAAUCUUUAAAAAUUGAUUUUUCAAAAGUCAAUUAAUUCAUAUAUAUCCACCUGUACUGAAG
rnacentral:lncRNA from 1 species